rnacentral:rRNA from 1 species
CAGUCGCCACGGUAAAACGUAGGUGGCAAGCGUUGUCCGGAAUUAUUGGGCGUAAAGGGCUCGCAGGCGGUUUCUUAAGUCUGAUGUGAAAGCCCCCGGCUCAACCGGGGAGGGUCAUUGGAAACUGGGAAACUUGAGUGCAGAAGAGGAGAGUGGAAUUCCACGUGUAGCGGUGAAAUGCGUAGAGAUGUGGAGGAACACCAGUGGCGAAGGCGACUCUCUGGUCUGUAACUGACGCUGAGGAGCGAAAGCGUUGGGAGCGAACAGGAUUAGAUACCCCCGUAGUCCCUGUCUCUUAUAC